AAUAGAUACCCAGGUAGUCCACGCCGUAAACGAUGAGUGCUAAGUGUUAGAGGGUUUCCGCCCUUUAGUGCUGAAGUUAACGCAUUAAGCACUCCGCCUGGGGAGUACGGCCGCAAGGCUGAAACUCAAAGGAAUUGACGGGGGCCCGCACAAGCGGUGGAGCAUGUGGUUUAAUUCGAAGCAACGCGAAGAACCUUACCAGGUCUUGACAUCCUCUGACAACCCUAGAGAUAGGGCUUCUCCUUCGGGAGCAGAGUGACAGGUGGUGCAUGGUUGUCGUCAGCUCGUGUCGUGAGAUGUUGGGUUAAGUCCCGCAACGAGCGCAACCCUUGAUCUUAGUUGCCAUCAUUAAGUUGGGCACUCUAAGGUGACUGCCGGUGACAAACCGGAGGAAGGUGGGGAUGACGUCAAAUCAUCAUGCCCCUUAUGACCUGGGCUACACACGUGCUACAAUGGACGGUACAAAGAGCUGCAAGACCGCGAGGUGGAGCUAAUCUCAUAAAAACCGUUCUCAGUUCGGAUUGUAGG
rnacentral:rRNA from 1 species